CCCUACGUGGCGUGGGGGGGGACCUAUACGGGGCUUCGUUGGAGCUCGCCAUCUUCUUCCUCGAGCUGUCAAGCAGCCACACUCCAUUUCCCUUUCGUCCAUCUCAUCUCCUGUGUCACCAAUGCCCCCCCUCGUCGCUGGUUUAUCUCAUCUGGAAGAACACGCACAAGCAAUGGUGCCAGAGCUGGGGAUGGAGGCAGCUAGGAGGAGCAUUUUUCUUUUUUGCUAUUUUUGGAUGAUUUUUUAUUCGUCGCAUUUGGCAGAGAUUUGAGCUGGAUUUCUUGAGGGAUUUUGUUACGAGGAUCUUUAUGAGCAAUAUCGGUUCAAUCCCCCCAUUAAAUCUCACGCGAAUCGGCUUGGAUUUGGAGUUUUCUCAUAAAUCGUGUUCUUGAGAGGGAUUUCGGUUUUUGCCUCGAUUCGUGAUGGUUACUUGAUCUUUUCAAGAUCUUGUUCUUGGAUCUAUUAGAUCCUAUGACCACCCAUCUUUGGCUAAAAUUUCAUCUCGAUUCGUUAUGUUUUGGGGAAGUAGUUUGAGUUCCAAGAUUUGUGCGUUUGCUUGUCCCUCAACUUCUCCCUCGCUCACCACUGUCAGUAUCCGCUCGCAUCUCUCCUGCUGUUUUUCUUGAAUCCACAUCUUCAAUCCCGGUGCUCCUGCAGUCCUGUUCCGUGUAGGUUUCCGUGUUUGUGUGUUUCGGGUGUGUUUAGUUCCCACCAAAUUUCCAAAUUUUCCAUCACAUCCAUCACAUUUUCUAUCACAUCGAAAUAUUAAAUAUAGCAAAUAAUUUAUGCAUGGAGUACUAAAUGUAGUUAAAUAAAAAAACUAAUUGCAUAGUUUUGAUGUAUGUUGCGAGACGAAUCUUUUGAUCAUAGUUAGGUCAUGAUAGGACAAUAUUUACCACAAACAAAUGAAAAGUGUUACAGUGUGCUACAGUGACUGAUGUGACUUUUUUCCCUUUUCACCUCAUCUAAACACAGCCUUCGUCUGUUUACGAGAUGUUCUGCAUGUCUCUGCGCGCGCGAGCAGGUGAUCUCGAGGAGGAGGAGUGGGGCGCCGCGGCCGAGCUCACCGCCGAAGCUGGAGGAUUUCCUCGGCGGAGGCAUCAACGGAGCCGGUAGCGGCGGACCGGUGUCCGUAGCCGAGACGCCGGCCGCGGAGAUGUACGACUCGGACCUCAAGUUCAUAGCCGCCGGCUUCAUGCAGAGCGGCGCGGUUGGGGCGGCGGCGCCGUCGCCGGUGUCCUCCUGUUCCCUCGACCAGGCCGACCCGAAGCUGGGCUUGCCUGCCGCGGCGGUUCCGGCGCCAGAGCAGUGGAAGGCCGUGGACUCCUUCGGCCAGCGGACGUCCAUCUACCGCGGUGUCGCACGUUGCAGCGGAUUGGGGAAAAAAUCUAGGUACUGUGCAUCCGAUGGUACAGAUAUACACUGCCCUGUUUAUUCCCACCCAUAAACCCUGUAAAUACAAAUGAAAACAUCACAUCGAAUGUUUUGAGACAUGUAUGGAGUACUAAAUGGUGUACUAAAUGAAGUUUAUUUAUAAAAUUUUUUGUAUGGCUGUGUUGUAAA